rnacentral:rRNA from 1 species
UUCGGAGGCGUUACACAGGUGCUGCAUGGCCGUCGUCAACUCGUGUCGUGAGAUGUUUGGUUAAGUCCAGCAACGAGCGCAACCCCUGUUGCCAGUUACCAGCACGUGAAGGUGGGGACUCUGGCGAGACUGCCCAGAUCAACUGGGAGGAAGGUGGGGACGACGUCAGGUCAGUAUGGCCCUUAUGCCCAGGGCUGCACACGUACUACAAUGCCCAGUACAGAGGGGGCCGAAGCCGCGAGGCGGAGGAAAUCCUAAAAACUGGGCCCAGUUCGGACUGUAGGCUGCAACCCGCCUACACGAAGCCGGAAUCGCUAGUAAUGGCGCAUCAGCUACGGCGCCGUGAAUACGUUCCCGGGUCUUGUACACACCGCCCGUCACAUCAUGGAAGCCGGUCGCACCCGAAGUAUCUGAAGCCAACCGCAAGGAGGCAGGGUCCUAAGGUGAGACUGGUAACUGGGAUGAAGUCGUAACAAGGUAGCCGUAGGGGAACCUGCGGCUGGAUCACCUC